UCUGGCAGUGAUGAUACUCUUGCCCUCACUGAGAACAUUGUUCUGUAAUGAGAAUCUUGUAAUGGACUCAGAUAAGCUGAGCUGGA
ensembl:snoRNA